CGAGCACGGGAGGGACUUUUCCCCGCCCGUUUCCACUCCGCGGAGGGCGGGCGCCCAGGCGCGGCGCCGCCCGGCCCUGCCCGGGGGCGCUCGGCCCGCCGGGGACCGGUCCCGUGAGCGCUGGCCCGGCGGCGCCCCCGGGUCGCGGCGCCUGAGCAGGGCUGGCCGAGCGCCGGCCGCAGGGGAUGCCAUCGGGCGGGCGCUCCCCGGGCGGCCGCCGCCCUCUGUCCCGGCGGCGUUGACUGAGGCGGGAGCGGGCCGGGCGCCGGCCCUGUCGGCAGUGACCGCUGCGUGCCCGGCAGAGGAGCGUGUCCGGUGGCGGGGAUCCCUCCCGCCCCAGCACAGCCGGCCCGGGGCGCCGCGCACGGCGUGGGGCGGCGAUGCCACGCCAGCCGCCUGCCAGCCGGCCGUCACCGAGGGCGGGAAGAGGCAGGAGGGACGGUGCCUCCCCGGCGGCGGGGUGAGGGCCUUCCCCGGGGGGGACGGGGCCUAGGGCGGCGCCCCCACGGGAGCCGUCUAUGGGGAAGGGAGCCCCGGUCCCCAGGGCGGCCGGGCGCGCCCUCCGCGGGGCAGCACCACGGCGGAGACCCUGCCGCGGCACCGCCGGCCCGCAGAGGCUGGGCGGGAGGACGGCGGCGCGUUGUGCCGUGCGGGCGGGGGGCGGCAGGGGGGGAAGGCGCCAUGUCGGGGCGGUGAUGCCGGCCCGCCGCGCUCGCGCCGCCGGCUGUUGUGUAACCCCACCCGCCGCGCGCCGCCCCGCGCCUCUGCGCGCCGCCUCCCGCCCCUCAGCGCCGGGCGGCGGGUCCUCGUCCCUCGGUGGGACGGCGCGAACGGCCCCGGCCCCCGCUGAGGGACGAGCCCGGGGCUGCCCCGAACGGCAGCGAGUGCCGUGUCAGAACAGAGCCUCCCUGGCGGGGAGCGUAGCGCGGCUGAGGCUCGGCUCACGGGACUCUUCUCUUUGUCGUCAAGGAGAAAAACUUGUGUGUGGCGAGCUGAGGAGAUCUGUGUUUGUAAAGCCGCCUCCGGGCAGCUCAGGAUGACCGUGUGAAGGAAAAGGUGGCAUAUCCAAGUACCUCCUUCUACCUUGGACAAAAGGGAACUUGCAAGAAAGGAACCUCACGAUUGCCAGUGACUCCAGGAAAGAGAAGCCUUCAGACGGAGGGAGCUGCUGAUCAGUAUGGUCUUGGAAAACCAUGAAUAGACCAUCCCUGAAACUUCUCCUCCCUAGGCUGAACAAACCCAGUUUGAUCAAGCUUUCUUCAGAAGCAAAGUUCUGCUGCAAGGGCAUGCUGCUGGCUCAUGUUCAACUUGCCCAUCACAACCCCCGGAUCCUUUUCUGCAAAGCUGCUCCCUAGCCUGUUCGUGCCCAUCCUAUAUUGUUUCUUGUGAUUUUGCAGUUUUUGAACUUUGUUGAAUGUUAUGCAGUUUCUCUAAGUCCAGUUUUGCAUUCUGUCAAGGUCCUUCUGGUUAGCAGCCCUGCCUAUCAACCUCACUUAUCAACCAUGCCUCCCAGUUUGCUGUAGUCCAUGAACUUCUCAAGUGUGUACUCUGUGCUAUCAUUCAGGUCAUUAAUAAAGACAUUAAACACUGUUGGUCUCAAUAUUGUCCCCUGAAAGAUGUUACAGGUCACCCACUGACAGCUGGACAUUGCAGCACAGGUCACAAAAUUUUAAGCCUGGCUGCUUUCCCAACUUGUUGGAAACUGUCCACUUCGCCACUCUAUAUGUUACCACUGUGGUGAUAAUAUCAUUAAAAAUAAUAUUAAAUGAUUUGGACAAGGCAUUUGGAGGUGCUGGUAAUGAAGGAACAUUCUCUUCGAAUAGUUGUUUCUUUCAUUCCUGGUUAGUUUUAUUUUACUUCCUAUUUACUCCAUUUCUUGCGUUGAAAUAUAGGAUGGUCACCACUAUUGGACCCAAUGACUUAUGCAUUAUACCUGUAAACAGUAGCACGUGGGUUUGUAUAAGGGGUUUGUGUAAGAUGACCUAACAAACUUGGUUGCUUUUCAGGUUGAUUUUAUAUUACAAAGUUUUGGGUAAGACACUUCUAGUUUUGCAUCUGAAUUAGAAGAAUGGAAGUCUGAUUAUAAUGGCUUUAUUUAGCAAGCUUAGACCUGUUUUUUCAGUACCAGCUUAUAUAUUCCUCAAGAUAUGAGGUGAGUUAAAGUCCAAUGAGACAGUGAACUCUCACUCAUCAAUUCUUCUCUAAUGCCAUGACCUCCUGGGUCUACUCAAAUCCAAAAGGGAAGCAUACCAGAGAUGGAGAAGUGGAGGAUUAUCCGUCAAGAGCUACAAGGGCAUUGCCAGAGUGUGCAGAGAUGCAGUCAGAAAAGCAAAAGCCCAGCUUGAAUUGAAACUGGCUGUAGAUGUCAAAAGUAACAAGAAAGGUUUCUUCAGGUAUGUCGACUGUAAGCAGAAAAAGAAGAAAAACAUAGGCCCACUGUUAAAUGGAAAAGGAGAGUCAAUCACCAACGAUGCUGAAAAGGCAGAGGUCCUCAACACUUUCUUCACCUCUGUCUUUACCAGCACUAUUGGGUCCCAGGCUUUGGGAAUGAAAUUGCCAGUUGACCCAAACACUGGCCCACCAUUGGUGAAUGAAGAGUUAGUAUAUGAAUUACUACAGGAGCUUGAUCCCUACAAAUUGAUGGGCCCUGACGCCAUCCACCCAAGGGUGUUGAUGGCUGAUGUCAUUGCAAGGCCACUCUCCAUAAUCUUCGAGAAGUCGUGGAGAACGGGGGAUGGCCCAGAGGACUGGAGGAAGGCAAAUGUUACCCCUAUCUACAAGAAAGGCUCGAGGGGGGAUCUGAGUAACUAUAGGCCCAUCAGCCUUACUUCAAUCCCUGGGAAAGUUAUGGAAUGAAACCUCCUGGGGGCCAUCACAAGUCAAAUGAAGCACAUGAUUGGGAAAAGCCAACAUGGCUUCACUAAAGGCAGAUUGUGCUUGACAAACUUGGUGGCCAUCUACAACAAAGUGACUUGCCUGUUUGACAUGCGGUGGGCAGCGGACAUUGUUUACCUGGACCUCUCCAAGGCUUUUGAUAUGGUACUCCACAGCCUCCUCCUGGAGAAAUUAAUGUGUUAUGG